rnacentral:rRNA from 1 species
CCAAAACCCUUAUUGAGUAACAAUUAGAGGGCAAGUCUGGUGCCAGCAGCCGCGGUAAUUCCAGCUCUAAUAGCGUAUAUUAAUACUGUUGCAGUUAAAACGCUCGUAGUUGAACUUAGAGUUAUUACAAAGUUUUGGGUUUUAAAUUGAUUUUAAAACUGCUUGCUUAAUUCUUAUCUACUAGAUACUCUAUUCUGUACUUAAUUGUAUGGAAUAUCACCUAGCCAGUGGAACUUUGGUGAAAUAAUGCCUUUUUUAAUACCAGAGUGUAAAAACUUGAAGUGUUAAUUUGGGGAUCACAUUAUUUUAUUGAAGUGGGGUUCUAGUUAAUUUACUUUGAGUAAAUUAGAGUGUUCAAAGCAGCCUCUUGGGGCUUUGAAUAGAUUUAGCAUGGGAUAAUAGAAUAGGAUUUGAUAAUCUAUUUGUUGGUUUGAAUUAAUCAAAUAAUGAUUAAUAGGGAC